UUAAGUUCCUUAAAUUCAAAGAAUUUGGCGGUAAUUAAGUCUUUUUAGAGGAACCUGUUCUUUAAUUGAUAAUCCACGAUUGAUUUUACUUUAUUAUUAUUUGUAUACCUCUGUCAAAUGAAUGUAUUUUAAGAUUUAUUUUCUUUAUUUUUUGUGAAUUAAUGUUAGGUCAAGGUGCAGUUUUUUAAAGUAGAAAUGGGUUACUAUAAUAAUUUUUGGAUUUUUCUUUGAAAUUUUUGAAUUUGAAAUUGGAUUUAAUAGUAAUUUUUUUUAAAUAAAAAUUUUGAUUUAGGCUCUUAAUUAU
rnacentral:rRNA from 1 species